GAUGAACGCUGGCGGCGUGCCUAAUACAUGCAAGUAGAACGCUGAAGGAGGAGCUUGCUUCUCCGGAUGAGUUGCGAACGGGUGAGUAACGCGUAGGUAACCUGCCUGGUAGCGGGGGAUAACUAUUGGAAACGAUAGCUAAUACCGCAUAAGAGUAGAUGUUGCAUGACAUUUGCUUAAAAGGUGCAAUUGCACCACUACCAGAUGGACCUGCGUUGUAUUAGCUAGUUGGUGGAGUAACGGCUCACCAAGGCGACGAUACAUAGCCGACCUGAGAGGGUGAUCGGCCACACUGGGACUGAGACACGGCCCAGACUCCUACGGGAGGCAGCAGUAGGGAAUCUUCGGCAAUGGACGGAAGUCUGACCGAGCAACGCCGCGUGAGUGAAGAAGGUUUUCGGAUCGUAAAGCUCUGUUGUAAGAGAAGAACGAGUGUGAGAGUGGAAAGUUCACACUGUGACGGUAUCUUACCAGA
rnacentral:rRNA from 1 species